rnacentral:misc_RNA from 1 species
GGAAUUUACCGGCGAGAAAUGAGAAAUUCACGACGAGAAUCCGUACAAAUCGUAAGGUGCCCAAAGGGAAUCGAGCGGACACGGCUCUUUUGAGUCAAGCCGAAGCCACGGCUUGCCGGAGCCGCUCCAGUGGAGGAGGCUUACCGGACCGGAAUGUAAAUCACGGCAACUUCCCUUUACAUUAUCACCGCCUAAACCGUGCUGGUUCCAUCUGUGCUCAAUGGGUGCCACGUGUCCGGCGAAGACCAAGAGGUACGGCGGUAAUGAACCCAGUUCAUAGAUCCGAUUGGUUUUCUGGAUAUCCAUCCAUUUU